GUUUUUAUGGAAUUGGUUAGGCAAGCAGGGGAUAAAGAGAUGACAGAGUAUUAAUGUUGACCAUCCGAGCCUAUGACAGUAGGAGGAGAUGUUUGUAUGGACAUGGAUUUGCAUGCAGCGGAUAAAGAGAUUACAUGGAAGUAUGUUGAGGACUGAGGCAUUGGCAGAGGAAAAUAAGUGCUCAAAGAAGAGCAUUGGCAGUAGUGGUGACAUGUAUUUAUCAUCAUGUAAGUCUCUUCUAUGAACAAUUCACUCGUUAUAGUUUCCCACGGGAGAAAAUCUUUAGCAGUUAUGUUCACUUGUCUAAAGAGGAAGAAUGGGUCUUGUUUCUCGUGUUUUAACUUCACUUGCUUUGAAACUCAUGGCAAAAGUCCACCUGAUUUCAUUUCCGAUGCUGGUUUAUCUUUCAUCUUUUUUUAGUUGGUUAGGGGAGUGGGUGUAGAAGGGAAGUUUUGUAAAUAUUUGGUUUGCAAUGGAUAGAUGCAAAUAGGUUUCAGUUUAUGUUAUCCUUUAUUUAUGAUUAGUAUGGUAAUUUGGUAGUUUUGUUUAAUGGUUAUGAUAAAUUCAUGCAUAUUUUGAUAUUGUACACUUUGUAAUUCAAGUUGAUGUCAGGCUUGUGUUUCAGCUUUCAAUCUGGGUAGGAAACACUAUUUAUCACUCAACUUUAAAGCAAAGGUCAAAUUUUUGAAUAGAAUGUUUCAUGGUGGAAGAUAUCUAUGUUUAUGCCACGUCCAAUUGUUGACUUCCCCAUUGGAUAUUCGUUGUAAAACUAAUCAAAUAUAAUUGUGCUACAAAAUCGAAUCAAGAAGUGAACUUUAUGUGACCGCUUCAAAACAAUAUAAAAUUUGGUGACCAACAAGUCUAAUGUGAAACUUGGCUAUGAGUUGAGCGACUAACAAUGUUUUUUAUCAAUAAUUUUAGUAGUUUCUUGUAACCUAAUAUUCAUUGCUUUGUGAGUAUUAGUAAAUAGUUAGUCUUGCUACAUUGUUCUCUCCAGAAGUUGUGUCUGAAGUAUCUGGUUUGUGUUGUUUAUAUGUUACUAGUGCCAGAGGUGCCCUACUUCCCUAGUGCUUAGGUUCAGCUCACCUCGGCAACUGCUGAAGUGAAAGAUGGUCGUGGAUAUUUGUUGUAUCAAACCAGCGACAAUGAUAAGUGUUCGUUUUUUUUAAGGUUUAUUUUAUGUUUGGUGUUUCGACUUUCCAUACUACAUCGGCUCAAUAACCUUUUUUUGGAGCUUUUUCUUUCAUAAUGGAGUGAUAUACUAUAUGAGAUGAAUUUAUAGUUCAAUUUGUUACUUGUUGCUAAAGCUGUUUCAGAUGUACAUCCGCAUUUUUGAACGGAGCGCUUUUAUGCUCCAUCCUGAAGGGAAGAUCACAAAAUGCAAGUGGUUGCAAAAUGGAAAUCCGUGAUGAUAGCUUGUGACUAGGAAGAUGGAGGUUUGUUUGGUUAAAAUUUACUUGUUUACAUGUGUCAUUCAUGAUUAUCCAAGGGUAAGGAGCUUUUGAUCAAGCUUUAUCAGUGGUCCGGUAUUUCAUAUUGUUCACUAAACUUUCAGCUUUGUUACUGAACUCGAACAAUUUUGUUCACCAUAGGAAAUGCUGACUUGGCUUCCUAGUUGGCAAAUGAUUUGACUAUCAUAUCAUCUUUCAAUCAUGCUAUAUAAACAUAAUGGUUGACAUAAUUCUUGACAUAACGUCAAAUGAGAAUAUAUCAUUGGAUUGUUUAAAAUACA